rnacentral:rRNA from 1 species
UACGUAGGUGGCGAGCGUUGUCCGGAUUUACUGGGCGUAAAGCGCGCGCAGGCGGUUCUGUAAGUCCUGGGUGAAAUCGCCCGGCUCAACUGGGCGGGGGCCUGGGGGACUGCGGGACUGGAGGGGCCUAGAGGCCGGUGGAACUCCCGGUGUAGUGGUGAAAUGCGUAGAGAUCGGGAAGAACACCAGUGGCGAAGGCGGCCGGCUGGGGGAGCCCUGACGCUGAGGCGCGAGAGCGUGGGGAGCGAACCGG